GUGAGGAGCUUUGGCCAGGAGUGCCACAAACGUUGGGAAGCUCACUUGCUCUCUGUGUGGAAUCAAUAUCAAGAGAUUUUGGAAGCAUACAUUUUUGGCAGCUGGGCAACUGGUGAUGGUUGGUCCCAGAGCCCCU